rnacentral:lncRNA from 1 species
CUCCGUCCCUUCUAUUCUCAGCGCCCGCCUGGCAGGACGACUGAGCAAGGCUUUGGAAAACCAGAGAGAUUAGAGCGGUGAGUUGCGCUGGUCACAUUGGAUACCUGCGCGUUAGGAGAUUCUGGAGCCAGACGGAGAGCCGAAUGGCCUUCGCCCGCCCUGCCCCUCUCUUGCUUCAGAAGCCCCCAGAAACUCCGCGGUCGGCGACCCAGCCCGAGCCGCCUGAGGUCCCAAGGGGAAGCUGAACGCCUGGUGGGCUCCCGGGAUGGUUCUUCCCGUUCUUUGUGCCGCCUUCACCCAGUGAAGGAGCCUGUAUCCACCCUGCUCAGUCGCUUUUGGGCUGCUGCGGAGCUUCCGCUGCCAUCUUCGGAUCCUGUGUUCCCCACCGGGGCUCCACCAGGGCAGGGAUGGUGCAGAAUGGGGAAAUGGAGAGAGAACCUGAAAGAGCCCCAAACUCGAGGACCUAUUGCUCCCCAAGAAUAACAUCUUCCAGAACUAGACAGAAACUAAGCGUCUGGAAACCCUGAAAUCCUUGGAGGAGUAGCAUCAUCCUGACCCUCUGUGCUCCUUUUGGCAAAGGACUUGCUUCCAUUGUUUGUUUGUUCAAUUGUCUGUUUGUUAAAUAAAU